AUUGAACGCUGGCGGCAUGCCUUACACAUGCAAGUCGAACGGCAGCACGGGAGCAAUCCUGGUGGCGAGUGGCGAACGGGUGAGUAAUAUAUCGGAACGUGCCCAGUCGUGGGGAUAACGUAGCGAAAGCUACGCUAAUACCGCAUACGAUCUAUGGAUGAAAGCGGGGGAUCGCAAGACCUCGCGCGAUUGGAGCGGCCGAUAUCAGAUUAGGUAGUUGGUGAGGUAAAGGCUCACCAAGCCGACGAUCUGUAGCUGGUCUGAGAGGAUGAUCAGCCACACUGGGACUGAGACACGGCCCAGACUCCUACGGGAGGCAGCAGUGGGGAAUAUUGGACAAUGGGCGAAGCCUGAUCCAGCAAUGCCGCGUGAGUGA
rnacentral:rRNA from 1 species